UUACAAAAAUUUAGUCGUCGUCUCUCGUACAGCUCUUGAAUAGUUUAACUUCAACUCUUGCUGGUAUUCAGUGUUCACCAGAUUUUAGUUCUGAGCCAGCCAUCACCGUCAACAUCAAGUUUUGCACUUCAUCAUUCAACCCGUCAUCAGCAGCAGUGUCAGCUUCAUCAGCUUCAUCAAUCGGGUAAACAGCCACCGGUUUGAUGGGAGAAUGCAUCAAAGAUUCAUCUCUUCUUCCCCCUUUUUCUUUAAAUCUCUUUGUCCUUGUGUACACCCAUGCGAGUGUGGGAGUAUUCACGAGGACACCCUUUUUCCUUGUUUCGUACCUGGUGUUUUCAACUUUUCUGCGGAAGGAGCACUUGGGAAAGAGCCUGGCUGUAUUUCCCAGGCUCAAAGGUAGGGCACAUUAUCACUA